rnacentral:snoRNA from 1 species
UGUCCCUGACCUGGGUAGAGUGGCAUCUGGCAUCUGGUUGGUGGUGCCCAUCUAAUAUCAGCCAGGGACAAAGCAUCCCCUUGUUCAUCCCAGCUUGGCUUUUGAUCUGUGCCCAUGCUUGGUUCAUGCCUUGGACACAUAG